rnacentral:lncRNA from 1 species
AGGGACUCAUCUUUUUGCUAUUUUUAAAAUGUUGCGAAAAUAUCCUUUGGUCUACAUCUUUGAGAUCUAGUUUUUUUUUUUUUUCCUGUAAAUAUGCAGAAGUAGAUGACUGGUGCAAAGAAUAGGUAGUUUUCAGCUUUCAGAUAUUUACUGCCAAAUUGCUCUCAAGAAAAUUUGCUUCAUGUUAUCUUCCCUAUGGCAGGGGAUGGAUGGGACGGCUCUUUUCUGGAGACCCCACUGUAGUUCUAUUGAUUAACAGGGCUCUUGUAAAUUUCUGUCAAGCUGACAGGCAAAAAAUAUUGUGUAUUGUUUUAUUUUGUUUAUCUAAUGUAUUCGUUAAUUUAACAGUUAUUUGUUGAGUACCUAUUAUGUACCAGGAACUCUUCAAGGGGUGAAGGGAAAGUAUAAAACAAGACAGAAGAUUUCCUUUCUUCCAUGAGGAUAUAAUUCUAGUGGGAGAACCAAUAAGCAAACCAGCAGAAGAAUCUUAGACUGGGAGACGUGCUAAGCUGAGAACUGGGGCAGCCGGUGCCUGGGGAGCUACACUGGAACUGUGAUUGUGAAACCAAUUCAAAGAGGUAGCAUUUACAGUGAGACCUGAAUGACAAGAAGGAGCCAGAUGUGCAGUGAUUCUCCAGGAAGGAGUUCCAGGUAUCGAGAACAGCUGGCAUAAAUGUUUGAAGGUGGGUAUAGCAGCACUAUUCACAAUAGCCAGAAGGUGGAAACAACCCUAACGUCCAUCAGCAGUUGAAUGGAUAAACAAAAUGUGGUAUAUCCAUGCUAUGGAAUAUUAUUCAGCCUUAAAAACAAAUGAAGGACUGAUACAUGAUAAUGUCAGGCCUCCGAGCCCAAGCCAAGCCAUCUCAUCCCCUGUGACUUGCACGUAUACAUCCAGAUGGCCUGAAGUAACUGAAGAUCCACAAAAGAAGUAAAAAUAGCCUGAACUGAUGACAUUCCACCAUUGUGAUUUGUUCCUGCCCCACCCUAACUGAUCAAUGUAGUUUGUAAUCUUCCCACCCUUAAGAAGGUUCUUUGUAAUUCUCCCCACCCUUGAGAAUGUACUUUGUGAGAUCCACCCCUGCCCACAAAACAUUGCUCUUAACUUCACCGCCCAUCCCAAAACCUGUAAGAACUAAUGAUAAUCCAUCUCCCUUCGCUGACUCUUUUCGGACUCAGCCCACCUGCACCCAGGUG